rnacentral:tRNA from 1 species
UGUGGCUCAGUGGUAGAGUGCUUGCCUAGCAUGCAUGAGGCACUGGGUUCAAUUCUCAGCA